UUCCGGAAGAAGAUGUUGGGUGCGUCGCCUUUUGGGGGGACGAGAAUUGGGAAGCCGGUGCAAGACCGGCGCUGCCCCCGCAACGGUCAGAUCCGCAAGGCCUUUCGCCAGCGGCCACCGGACAGGACGGGUCCGGGAAGGCGGCGGAAGGUCGGGGCCAUUUGCCCCGGGCGGAUCGAGCCCGGAAACCAGCCCGACAUUGCGCCGAACC
rnacentral:ncRNA from 2 species